rnacentral:sRNA from 1 species
GACUGGCCAAUACUUGUGGAAGCAAUUGAUGGGCGCCCCAUAGCAUCGGGCCCAGUUGUCCACGAAACUCACGACCUGAUAGUUGACCUGGGAGAUCACCGAGAGGUGCUGUCAUUUGAUGUGACUCAGUCUCCAUUCUUCCCUGUCGUCCUAGGGGUUCGCUGGCUGAGCACACAUGAUCCCAAUAUCACAUGGAGCACUCGAUCUAUCGUCUUUGAUUCUGAAUACUGCCGCUACCACUGCCGGAUGUAUUCUCCAAUACCACCAUCGCUCCCACCACCAGCACCACAACCGCCACUCUAUUAUCCAGUAGAUGGAUACAGAGUUUACCAACCAGUGAGGUAUUUGUCUUAGUGGAAAAAAGGAGAAUUAGUCUGAUCAAAUCGUGAAGUAAUACAGUGAACUUGCAGGUGCACAAAAUAAGAGGGCCACAUCUAUAUGGUGCAGUCUGGAAUUCUGUUUAAGUUUGCAGGUACCUCUUGGACUUCUGAAUUGAUCCAGUUGUCAUCCACCACAGAUAUCUCACAUCAGAUACAGACAGUUCCAAGAUUGACAACAGAGAACAACCUGCUGGAAAGACCUGGGCAGAAAUGGAGAGCCCUGCGGGAACCAUGCUACAUUUUCACCUAAAGAGAGAAUGCACAUCUGAUGAGACUGAAAGUUCUUUGUGUUUUAGAUUGUAGAAUGGUAUUGAAUUGGUCUGUGGAAAAUUGCAUUGCUUUUAUUUCUUUGUGUAAUCAAGUUUAAGUAAUAGGGGAUAUAUAAUCAUAAGCAUUUUAGGGUGGGA